rnacentral:rRNA from 1 species
GCUUGUCUCAAAGAUUAAGCCAUGCAUGUCUAAGUACAAGCCUAACUAAGGUGAAACCGCGAAUGGCUCAUUAAAUCACACCUAAUCUACUGGAAUGUUAGCAGUUACUUGGAUAACUGAGGUAAUUCUUGAGCUAAUACAUGCGAAAAAUCUCGACUCACGGAGAGAUGCUUUUAUUAGAUCAAAACCAAACAGAUUCGUCUGUAUAUUUGGUGACUCGGAAUAACUUUGGGCUGAUCGCAUUGCCUUGUGCAGGCGACGUUUCCUUCGAAGGUGUGCCCUAUCAACUGUCGACUGUGAUAUAGACGCUCACAGUGGUUUUGACGGGUAACGGGGAAUCAGGGUUCGAUUCCGGAGAGGGAGCCUUAAAAACGGCUACCACAUCCAAGGAAGGCAGCAGGC